rnacentral:misc_RNA from 1 species
UCUCCGUUGGUGAACCAGCGGAGGGAUCAUUACCGAGUUUACAACUCCCAAACCCCUGUGAACAUACCAUUUGUUGCCUCGGCGGUGCCUGCUUCGGCAGCCCGCCAGAGGACCCAAACCCUUGAUUUUAUACAGUGUCUUCUGAGUAAAUGAUUAAAUAAAUCAAAACUUUCAACAACGGAUCUCUUGGUUCUG